GAAGCAAAGAAGGAUGUGGAUAAAGGAACCAUGCAUUCUGACAUGUUCCUGCUGAGAAGGGAAGGCAAAGAGGAGCACGGUACCAUCAUUAGAGUCUUUACGCUCAUUGCUUGUUUAAUGUGGGAUAGUUUUCUCUCCAUUUCCCUUUUUUGUUUGGACGUAGUAUUGUCACGGUACCAAAAUUUCAGUAUUCGGUAUCAAUACCAGUGAAAAUCCACAGUUCUUUUUACAAAAUUUGGUACCGAAGCAAAAGACUAAAGCAUGCCAAUUAAAGUUUUGACUUUACUUUCAUUUAAAAAAAAGACGCUUUUACCCUAAUAAAAGUUAUUGGAGCAUAAAAUAUUUGAUAAAGAAACGUCAUUCUAAUGCUCAUUAUAUUAGUGUUAGCCAUGCUUAUGCUAACGAUUAACUACUCUAAUAACAGCAUUAAUUUCAAUCCGAGAUUCAAAUUAAAUACUUAAUAUUCAUAACAGAACAGACUCGCAAUCUAUUUGUGGGGGCAUAUAUAUGCCAAUUCAUUCUCUGUCAGUAGGAGGCACUUGUAGACCGAGAGUAAGUUUCCUCGGUAACAGCUGUUAUCAAAUAAGCGCUGAGCCUGCGAUCACAAAUGCUGCACAAGUAUUACAAGCAAGAUGAAAUGAAAAUGACAUUCAUAAUUUUCUGAAGACUGUCAGUUUUCUUCUAAAAUACAGUGAUAUAAAAAAACCCACCCCGGGUUUCGACUUUGACUCGUGCAUUGCUAAUGUUUAUUCAAUGAAGUCAAAAGGAAGGAGGACUCUGGAAGGAGACUUUUUUAAAUGACCUUUACUUUUAUGAUAUCAACAAAAACCGGUGGUUUCCUGCCCAACUAAAGCUAGGGCAACAAGUCAGAAAAGAAGAAGAGGCGCAGUGGGAAGAAGGAAGAACAGACGAAUGAAACUGAAGGGGAGAAAGAGGAGGCACAAGGUCCCACUGAGAUUAUUAAAGAAAUCGUGGCCGGGGAUGGAACAGUUAUGACCAUCAAGGAAGUGAUUCCACAGGCAGAGGAGGACAGUGAGGAGGAGGUUGACGAAGAGGAGGCGGCUACAAUGGCUCCCUUGGUGGAACCCUGUCCUUGCUCCAGCGCCAUGGCAACGGUGAAGCAUGAGAUGCAGGACUGGCUGGAAGAAUCCGGAUCAGAAGAUGAAGAAGAAGAAGAAGAAGAAGCAAAGGGAGGUGAUGAUGAGGAAGAGGGGGAAUCCAAAGAGGAGAGUGAAGAAGUUUCGUCUCUGAUCUUGGGGCAGAAAGGCUGCUGGAUGCCAAGACCAGCACUUGGACCACAAAUUCAUCAUUGGCAUGCCCGAUCAGACCUGUUCCACUGUGUAUCAUGGUGUUUUGGCCAAUAAGGCCCAUCAUGACAUUCUGGAGUCUGCUGGUAGUUGACAUACCACACAGAAGAAAAAUGGAGGUGUACAGGAAAUGAGAGGAGCGCUUGACGUGUUAUUCCAAAGAGUGAUAAAAACAAGAACAUGGAGAAACAUAAGCAAUGCUUAGGAGAGGUGCGCGAGGGAGGCAGGUGGGGUUAGACGGGGGCCGUUUCCCAUCACUUUGAACCUGUUGACGUCAUAGCUGUGUAAUGCUGCCGUUACCCAAAAAGAUGUUGAUGGUGGUCGCCCUUCACCCUUAGGCCACCUUGCACACCCUCCCUCACCAAAGCCACAGUUCAAAUUACUCCAACACCCAAAUACAAACCAAACCCAAACGAAAACUGAAAAAAGCCACCAGCAUUGUCAAGAAAAGGCAAGUAAGAAAUAUGAAAUAAAAAAAGAGAAACAAGUCUAUAUAUUUAUAACAGCAUUAAUGAGUGAAUGAAUACAUAGGAUAAAACUAGAAGUUCAAAAGGAUGCUUGUAACUAUUUCAGAUAAAAAAAAAAUAAGAAGAAAUUAAGAAAUCAAAACGAGCUCUUUGGAGACAGGAAAGCAGACGGAACUGCUGAGCCCAGUUUUGUUGUUGCCUUCCUCGGUCCUCGUAUUGACGUGCUGUAACUUCAAUAGAAGUACAUUGGUCAUUUGUUUAUAAAAAAAAAAAAAAAAAAUAAUGGUCUGGGACCAGAUCAGUUGUGAUGACACUAGAAUUGAUUUGAUAAUAUAAGAAGA
ensembl:lncRNA